CCUACGGGGGGCAGCAGUGAGGAAUUUUCGUCAAUGGGGGCAACCCUGAACGAGCAACGCCGCGUGCAGGAAGAAGGUUUUCGGAUCGUAAACUGCUUUUCUCUGGGACGAGAACGGACGGUACCAGAGGAAUCAGCCUCGGCUAACUACGUGCCAGCAGCCGCGGUAAUACGUAGGAGGCGAGCGUUGUCCGGAGUUACUGGGCGUAAAGCGCACGCAGGCGGUCAGAUCAGUCUGGAGUGACAGUCGUCGGCUUAACCGACGAAGUGUUCUGGAAACUGUCUGACUUGAGGGCUUCAGAGGGACACGGAAUUCCGGGUGGAGUGGUGAAAUGCGUAGAUAUCCGGAGGAACACCAAUGGCGAAGGCAGUGUCCUGGGAAGUACCUGACGCUCAGGUGCGAAAGCUAGGGGAGCGAACAGGAUUAGAUACCCCAGUAGUC
rnacentral:rRNA from 1 species